AUAUCUCAAUCACAUCCAUGAUGUGGCUUGGACUUGGGGGGAAACGUGCAGGCUUACUUAGGCUUAGGCUUAGUCUGCUCCCCUGAAAAAUAUGAGCGGUACCUAUAUUGGAACUCUGGCUAGGUGUGAUACACAUCUGCAUCUAACCGAGGUCGUUAUUGCUGCUGAUCAUUAUGACUUUGAUAA
rnacentral:misc_RNA from 1 species